GACGAACGCUGGCGGCGUGCUUAACACAUGCCAGUCGAACGGAAAGGCCCUGCUUUUGUGGGGUGCUCGAGUGGCGAACGGGCGAGUAACACGUGAGUAACCUGCCCUUGACUUUGGGAUAACUUCAGGAAACUGGGGCUAAUACCGGAUAGGAGCUCCUGCUGCAUGGUGGGGGUUGGAAAGUUUCGGCGGUUGGGGAUGGACUCGCGGCUUAUCAGCUUGUUGGUGGGGUAGUGGCUUACCAAGGCUUUGACGGGUAGCCGGCCUGAGAGGGUGACCGGCCACAUUGGGACUGAGAUACGGCCCAGACUCCUACGGGAGGCAGCAGUGGGGAAUAUUGCACAAUGGGCGGAAGCCUGAUGCAGCAACGCCGCGUGCGGGAUGACGGCCUUCGGGUUGUAAACCGCUUUCGCCUGUGACGAAGCGUGAGUGACGGUAAUGGGUAAAGAAGCACCGGCUAACUACGCG
rnacentral:rRNA from 1 species